UUUUUCAGAUCACGUGACCUCUUCCCUAUGAGAUAGGCAAGGGAGGCUUGUCUCUAGGUUUCUUGAGUGUCUUGAUUAGAAACAUUCUCCUGAAAUGGGCAUCAAACCUACUUACAAAGUAGCUGUUCAUGGUGAUUUUCCAGUGGGCGGCCAUUGGUAUGCAUGGUAAUAAAAGUCACUAGGUUAGAGAAGACUGCUGAGGCGUCAAAUUUAGGAAGAUGCAUCCAUGACCUUUGCUUCAUCAGAGGCUAUGUUAAUUUUUAUUUAAUUUUAUAGUACUUUAAAUUAAAUAAUAUCAAAUACAUAAUAUUAGCCCUGUGUGCCAAGUAGCAUUUUACUACUUGCUAGUAGUGUUGUAUCUACUGAUUGCAUCCUCACAACAGCUCUGUGAAGUAGAAACCGUUCUAUCUUACAGAUGAAAAACUAAGACAAAGAGGUUGAAUAAUAUGUUGAAGUUCGUAAAGGUGGUAAGUGAUAGACCUAGGACUUGAACUCAGGCACUGACUCUAUAGAGUCCUGCCUCUUGUAACUACUACACCAUACUUCUCACGGAAAUAUGCCUCUCUGCACCCUCAUCCCCACAUGCCACUCUGAUCCUACUUUGUGGUGAUAAUUGCUGUUGUUUGAUGUGUAUCUUUCCAGAUGUUCUCAAAGGUGACCAUUGAUCUAUCUCUGUGUCUGUAUUCUAAUGUUUACAUACAUGCACUCAUACUUUUUGUUUUCUUUCAAUAACAUAAAUGGUCAGUUAUUUUUAUAACACGUUACAGACAUUUUUUACAUUCAUUACACUCCAGUCACAUUUAGAAAUGUGUCUCACUCUUUUUACUAUGCCUGCAUUCACUGUAAGGAGUGAGUGUACCAUGAUGUUUUUUGUUUGUUUGUUUGUUUUGUCAUUACAUAGAGUGCUUUGGUAAGUGUCCAUCAUCUAUAUAUCUAUGUAUCUGGUAUGUGUUUAUCUUUAGGUAUUCUUAUUAUUUCCUAAAGUGGGAAUUCACAUUAAUAGUUAUAGUGUGUACUGCUAAAUUAUCCUCCAUAAAGGAUACACACACGCAAAAAAACAAAAAAACCCUGGAAAGAGGUCUUUAAAAAACCACUAAUAGGGCUAUUGACUGGCUGGCUCAGUCAGUAGAGCACGUGACCCUUGAUUUCAGGGUUCUGAGUUCGAGCCCCGUCUUGGGUGUAGAGUUUACUUAAAAUCUUUAGAAAAAUA